GACGAACGCUGGCGGCGUGCUUAACACAUGCAAGUCGACAUGAGUGGGGAAGAGGAAUGUAAUACGAGGGUAACCUGCCCUCCGUGUUGGGAUAAGCCAUGGAAACGGGGUCUAAAACAGAAUAGAGGGGGGUGGGCUCGCGGACUAUCAGGUUGUUGGUGGGGUGGUGGCCUAACAAGGUGGGGACGGGCUGCCGGGCUGAGAGGGUGACCGGCCACAAUGGGACUGGGGAACGGCCCAGACGUCUAAGGGAGGGAGCAGUUGGGGAAAUUGGACAAUGGGCGAAAGCCUGAUGCCGCGGCGCCGCGUUGGGGGUUGAGGCUUUCGGGUUUUAAACCUUUUUCGGUAUCGAACGGGUAGGUGGAGAAGAAGCGCCGGCUAACUACGUGCCAGCCGCCGCGGUAAUAC
rnacentral:rRNA from 1 species